AUUGAACGCUGGCGGCAGGCCUAACACAUGCCAGUCGAGCGGAUGAAGGGAGCUUGCUCCUGGAUUCAGCGGCGGACGGGUGAGUAAUGCCUAGGAAUCUGCCUGGUAGUGGGGGAUAACGUCCGGAAACGGGCGCUAAUACCGCAUACGUCCUGAGGGAGAAAGUGGGGGAUCUUCGGACCUCACGCUAUCAGAUGAGCCUAGGUCGGAUUAGCUAGUUGGUGGGGUAAAGGCCUACCAAGGCGACGAUCCGUAACUGGUCUGAGAGGAUGAUCAGUCACACUGGAACUGAGACACGGUCCAGACUCCUACGGGAGGCAGCAGUGGGGAAUAUUGGACAAUGGGGGAAAGCCUGAUCCAGCCAUGCCGCGUGUGUGAAGAAGGUCUUCGGAUUGUAAAGCACUUUAAGUUGGGAGGAAGGGCAGUAAGUUAAUACCUUGCUGUUUUGACGUUACCAACAGAAUAAGCACCGGCUAACUUCGUG
rnacentral:rRNA from 1 species